rnacentral:rRNA from 1 species
AUUGAACGCUGGCGGCAGGCCUAACACAUGCAAGUCGAGCGGGGUUUUCGGACCUAGCGGCGGACGGGUGAGUAAUGCGUAGGAAGCUACCCGAUAGAGGGGGAUACCAGUUGGAAACGACUGUUAAUACCGCAUAAUGUCUACGGACCAAAGUGUGGGACCUUCGGGCCACAUGCUAUCGGAUGCGCCUACGUGGGAUUAGCUAGUUGGUGAGGUAAUGGCUCACCAAGGCGACGAUCCCUAGCUGGUUUGAGAGGAUGAUCAGCCACACUGGAACUGAGACACGGUCCAGACUCCUACGGGAGGCAGCAGUGGGGAAUAUUGGACAAUGGGCGCAAGCCUGAUCCAGCCAUGCCGCGUGUGUGAAGAAGGCCUUCGGGUUGUAAAGCACUUUCAGUAGGGAGGAAGCGUUGAGUGUUAAUAGUACUCAGCGUUGACGUUACCUACAGAAGAAGCACCGGCUAACUCUGUGCCAGCCGCCGCCGUAACAC